UACGUAUGGAGCAAGCGUUAUCCGGAUUUACUGGGUGUAAAGGGAGCGUAGGCGGCCUGGCAAGCCUGAUGUGAAAUACCGGGGCCCAACCCCGGGGCUGCAUUGGGAACUGCCAGGCUGGAGUGCCGGAGAGGCAGGCGGAAUUCCUAGUGUAGCGGUGAAAUGCGUAGAUAUUAGGAGGAACACCAGUGGCGAAGGCGGCUUACUGGACGGCAACUGACGCUGAGGCUCGAAAGCGUGGGGAGCAAACAGG
rnacentral:rRNA from 1 species